rnacentral:tRNA from 1 species
GGUGGCUCAGUGGUAGAGCGUUUGCUUUGCAUUCAUGAGGCCCUGGGUUCGAUUCCUCAGCACCA